CAGUCGCCGCGGUAAUACGUAGGUGACAAGCGUUGUCCGGAAUUAUUGGGCGUAAAGGGCUCGCAGGCGGUUUCUUAAGUCUGAUGUGAAAGCCCCCGGCUCAACCGGGGAGGGUCAUUGGAAACUGGGAAACUUGAGUGCAGAAGAGGAGAGUGGAAUUCCACGUGUAGCGGUGAAAUGCGUAGAGAUGUGGAGGAACACCAGUGGCGAAGGCGACUCUCUGGUCUGUAACUGACGCUGAGGAGCGAAAGCGUGGGGAGCGAACAGGAUUAGAUACCCGCGUAGUCCCUGUCUCUUAUAC
rnacentral:rRNA from 1 species